CCAGUCCGAACUACUUCGACUCUGAUGUCUAUGCCUGAUAGACUAAGUAGGCCCAGGAUACGAUAUCCUGCCGAGUCAGUUUCAGUCAGUUUCUUUUGUCUCUUUCAGCCAGUGUGUGUGAGUAUUUGAGCAGUGUUUAGCAACCAUUUUCCUUCCUUCUGUGCGUGGAUCCCGUAGAGUACUACGGAUGCGUAGGGGGCCUAAUACCUUCCCUUCGCAUAACCGACUCCCGAACCCAUCCUCUUUGGUCGCGAGACCAUGUUCUUUCCUAGGUUUACUUCGAGCGUUUCCUUUCCCUCUUUUUGGGAUAAAUAACGCACGGUGGCGGCUCUGUUGUUUCUUUCUUUUCCCGCCGGUUUUUCGCGCGAUGCGAC
rnacentral:lncRNA from 1 species